UAUAUACUUCACAGCUAAGCUUAGCUCAGAUGGUAAUCCAUGUGCCUCUUAAUAAGCUGUAUCCGGAUUCGAACCUUGAUAAAUAUUGUGUGGGUCUGUAAACAUGGGAUCGACUGGUAAACCGGUUAUAGGACUGGUCCAGCCAAAACAUAGAAUCAAAUAAAGAAAAUAAUUGGUGAAAAUCGAUUGAACUUGAUCGAUUUUAUAAAAAUUAGUGACCCGGUGGGUUUGAGAAAUUCGAACCGAUUCAAAAUUAUUUUUUUUAAUGGUUGUCAUUUUGAAUUUCAAGAAAAAAAAAAGAAAAAUAGAACCUUAAUCCAGCGAAGGAUCCCCCUCCCCAAUCCACUCUCUCACUCCUCCUCACUCUGAAAUGGGCCAAACGGCAGAGGAGCUCAAUGCGGCGCCUCAAUCUUCUCACUCUCACAGAGCCGCUUCCCUCUCUCAAAGAAAGAAAGGAUGUGACAAACCCUAGCCUUUGUUGCCGCCACCGUUCUUCUCAUCGCCACCGUCCUGCAGUUCUUCGAUAGCUUCUUUUUUUCUCGUCACCAGCUUCUUCACCUGGUCCCGCAUGAUUCAUCGUCUAUCGUCAGGUCCAGUUCAUCGCGUAGCCAACCUCUUUACCUGGUCCAGCUUCGUCGUCCGUCGCGUCGCCUGGUCUAGCUUUGUCGUCCCUCAUGUGCUCGUCGCCAACGGUCUUGCUUCCUCUCCCUCAUAUUCUGCUAGUUCUCCGCGUUGUAAUCAUAAGGAGAAGGACGCAGUGCCGCUAGCUUCUCCGCGUCACAUUCUUUCUCCUCUUUCAUACUCUACUCGUUUGAAGACCACCGAAGGUUCUGAAAAUCAGUUCGAACUGGCAGUCAAAUCAGAAACCGUUGCUAAAGACGGUUUGGACAGAAGCAGAAACCGGUAGAUUAAGAAACUGGUUAUGGAUCGCCGAACCGAAUCGUGACCGGGUCAGUUUCUAAAUUUUGCAAAAAAAUGCAGUGUUUCGUCACUUUGUGUUUGGAUUUUGGAACCUUAACUCCUUAACCAGUGACCAUCACCCCAGUACCCCUCUACUCUCCAGUUUCCAGUCCACAAUGCAUAGAAGGAGAACGUGAAGCAACUUCUGGCGCAACUUCCGAAGCCACCACCACCAUUGCAACUUCAAGCUGUUCAAGGCCACCGGCGCAACCUCCGUUCAGCCAAUGUCCAGACUCCAGCCACCGCCAGCUCUGUUCACGCAGCCACUGUCCGUCGCGCAACCACUUCCCGUCACGGCCAUCUCUGUUCCACACUUCCACUGUAUUGUUGUUGGAUUGGUGGUAAUUAUUAGGUAUGGAUGAGAGUAUCAUCGAGCUUGUCUCACACUCAGCCACUCUCCUUCUCCUUCCUCUCAUUGAGCUCCUCCCUCACUCCCUCACUUCCGUCUAGCCACCGUCACAGCUUUCUUACCCUCCAUCGCGAAGCCACCGUCGUAACUUUGUCUCCUCUGUCGGCGCCAGCUCUAUUCCAAUGCACUCUUGUCCCUUCAGCCGUGUUAGCCCUUCGGUCGUGCUCCUUGUCUCCCUCUAACUCAGUCUGCUCUGUUCUAGCUUCUAGGUUUUUUUUAACUAUAAUUGACUAAUUGUUGUUAGUUAAUUGAUGAACUAUGAUUUUUCAUUACUGGGAUUUAGGAUUGUGGAUAAUUUUGAAUAGAUGUUGUUAGUUAAUCUAUGAACCUUGCUGUUGUUACUUGUUACUGGGUUGAAUAAUUUUGAAUAAUUUUAACUGUUGAGAUUACUAGUUGGAAUGGGUUGUUGUGGGUUGCUAUGGAUUACUGUGAUAUUGUAAUUGAAUUGUAUUGUUUGCUCAGACUGCUCAGAACGAAGGCAAUGGCUUUAGUUGAUUUUAAUUUU